GGAGGAGUCGCAUAGCGGCCAAUUGCACAGGUUUGGAGAACCUGACCCGUUUACGGGUACGUGGGUUCGAAUCCCACCUCCUCCG
rfam:Candidatus Woesebacteria bacterium RIFCSPLOWO2_01_FTLL_37_19 rifcsplowo2_01_scaffold_4341, whole genome shotgun sequence.